AGUGAACGCUGGCGGUAGGCCUAACACAUACAAGUCGAACGGCAGCACAGUAAGAGCUUGCUCUUACGGGUGGCGAGUGGCGGACGGGUGAGGAAUACAUCGGAAUCUACUUUUUCGUGGGGGAUAACGUAGGGAAACUUAUGCUAAUACCGCAUACGACCUACGGGUGAAAGCAGGGGAUCUUCGGACCUUGCGCGAUUGAAUGAGCCGAUGUCGGAUUAGCUAGUUGGCGGGGUAAAGGCCCACCAAGGCGACGAUCCGUAGCUGGUCUGAGAGGAUGAUCGGCCACACUGGAACUGAGACACGGCCCAGACUCCUACGGGAGGCAGCGGUGGGGAGUAUUGGACAAUGGGCGAAAGCCUGAUCCAGCCAUACCGCGGGGGUGAAGAAGGCCUUCGGGUUGUAAAGCCCUUUUGUUGGGAAAGAAAAGCAGCAGGUUAAUACCCGGCUGUUCUGACGGUACCCAAAGAAUAAGCACCGGCUAACUUCGU
rnacentral:rRNA from 1 species